rnacentral:sRNA from 1 species
GAGUCUUGCGAUCUCGGCCGACCACCAG